rnacentral:rRNA from 1 species
UACGUAGGGUCCGAGCGUUGUCCGGAAUUAUUGGGCGUAAAGGGCUCGUAGGCGGUUUGUCGCGUUGGGAGUGAAAACACGGGGCUUAACCCCGUGCCUGCUUCCGAUACGGGCAGACUAGAGGUAUGCAGGGGAGAACGGAAUUCCUGGUGUAGCGGUGAAAUGCGCAGAUAUCAGGAGGAACACCGGUGGCGAAGGCGGUUCUCUGGGCAUUACCUGACGCUGAGGAGCGAAAGUGUGGGGAGCGAACAGG